ensembl:lncRNA
GCUAAAUGACACAUUCCAUGUGUCACGGUCUUCCUCCUCUUCUUCCGAAGAGGAGAGGCGAAAAGGAGAGUCGGACCAAAAUGCGGCGUGGAUUUCAUAGACAGCUGCUGUCUGUUCUCUCCGUCCAUAUCCCACCUUCUGGGAGAGAUCGGGAGUCGUAAACACGCUGCGGUGAUGCCUGAAACAAGUUUCCAUGCCACAUUAAUGGGAGUGGCAAAGAGAGCGAACCUCUCGCCUGCCAGCUGCUACCCUUCUAGCCUGGCGGCAGCUAGCGCCGUUGUAGGAUUUCCAUUAAUUUGGUGCAUCUGACAACCUGCUCUGCACGGUAUCCUUCCCCUGUAUCUCCCCAUAAGCCUGGGAGGAACAGAACACACCUGUGAUUUGGUCUGAUCCUGUUUAGGGGAUGAACCGCCCUCCUGGGUUACUGACACACAACCCCAUCCCAGCAGGACGAGCCAUCCGAGCCAUCCGAGCCAUCCGAGCCAUCCCCAGGACAAGCCAUCCGGACAAAUUCAGCUACAAUAGCGUCACGCUCGAAUUGGCUCUGUGUGCACUGUCAUGGCCUGUUGAGCACAAAGAGGUUUGGGUGGCAGGGGCCGUGAAAUAACAAAG